CAGUCGCCGCGGUAAUACAGAGGGUGCGAGCGUUAAUCGGAUUUACUGGGCGUAAAGCGUGCGUAGGCGGCUUCUUAAGUCGGAUGUGAAAUCCCUGAGCUUAACUUAGGAAUUGCAUUCGAUACUGGGAAGCUAGAGUAUGGGAGAGGAUGGUAGAAUUCCAGGUGUAGCGGUGAAAUGCGUAGAGAUCUGGAGGAAUACCGAUGGCGAAGGCAGCCAUCUGGCCUAAUACUGACGCUGAGGUACGAAAGCAUGGGGAGCAAACAGGAUUAGAUACCCCUGUAGUCCCUGACUCUUAUAC
rnacentral:rRNA from 1 species